CCGCCUCCCUUCCCCUCUCCUCGCUUCGGCGAGUGAUGUCAGUUCCGGAUAGGCCAGCAAUCGCUGGCCUCCUCUACUUCUAUUUUUUAUCUCCUGGCCUCUUCUCUCUGUCCUCCUCUCCAGUCAACAGCAAGAAAGACGAAGCAAGUAGCAACUAGUGAACACCAGCGACGGUGAAAUACAAGCUAGUCGCUACGAUAGGCCGUCGCAAUCUGUAGCAGUAGCUAGAGGUGGCGACACCACCCUCCCCUCUUUGCCUCUUUUAUCCUAGAUGAAGCGAGCUGCUUCGAGAAGCAAGCACCAACGCAGACUCGGAGAAACAACAACUCAACGAGACAUCAACAACAGCUCCGGCGAGCGACCAGACAACUUCUUCCUGUCCCUUGCCACCUCUCUCCUUGGAUCCGGCGAGGACAACCAAGCAAGAUCCGGUGAAGUCCAAGCUCUUGGUCGUUAGACGGAUCUGGACAGAUCCGUCCGGGUUAGUCUUUCUUCUAAUUUAUCCUUUUAAUACAAUUUCAUAUUUUGCUUAUGGAAUCUGUUAUUUGCAUUUGCUCUAGGUGAAUGUUACUGUGAAUCUAAUGUCAUCUCAAAGGAAGAUCUCUGCGAUGCGGACUUGUUUCUCGACGAAAAUAUAAAAUUUAGAAUUCAAGUUCGACUUCAUUAAAAGGUACUAUGUCAAUGUGGGAACGUUGUGGAAAUGAAGACCUCAUGGACGCAAUCCAAUCCUGGACGUAGGUUCCUUUGUUGCAAAACUUCAAAGGCACGAGGUGGAUGUGGAUAUUUUCGAUGGUAUGAUGAUGAAAUGCCUGCUCAAGCUAGGAGGGUGAUAUGGGGUUUGUUGAAAAGAGUCAAAACAUAUGAAUUGGAGAGGAAUCGAUCAAGAAAAGUAUGGAUAAUAUGCAUCAUCGUAGGGGUGAUAUUGGCUACUUGGAUUUGUGUAACAAAAUAAUCUUAGUUGAUUCAUUUGUCUUCUAUUAGAUUCCUUCAUAAAAGUAUGUAUGGUAGAUUCUAGUGUUCUUUAUGGGCAAUUUAGAUCGAUUUUUCUAUUGUAAAUGCCUUGUGUUUUUAUUGUAAUGAUUUAAUUGAAGGAAUGAAGAUAAUUUGUGCCUCAAAAGCAGUAAAAA